AUGAACUCCUCUGUUCUUCCCCAUCCCCGAGUACCCCCUCUCCUCUGUGAUACCCACCCCCGCACAUCUUGACCAGCAUUUUCGAUCAACACCCAAGCUCCGUUGCCUCCACGGUCGUGCAUUAUUGAAGUCGUGGCCAUUGUUUCCAGCCCAAAAUCAUAGAGUUCACUUCGCCCGUUUCCUUCACACGAAAGCCACUCAUGCCAUUUGGUCCAGAUCUCUGCCCUAGAGUGUCUGUUUCCUUCGCACAAAAGCCAUUCCAGUUGUUUAUCGUCGACGCCGCACCACUCAAGGCAAAGAGAAGCCAUUGAAGCUGCUCAGAGAUGGAGGCGCCUUAAUGCAGCCGAGGCCCAACUCAAGCGGCAGUGUAUAGCCCGUAGCAGCAGCAGCCCGUCGCAGCAACAGCAGUCCGUCGCAGCAGCACCACUUCGUCGCAGCAGCCCCAGCACAUCCUGCCGUGAGUUUGGAAAAAUAGGCUCAAUUCACAUUGAGCCGCCCUUUACUCGUGGGCGAGCUGAACCACGGGAGCGCCCAAGGAGACAUGUCGAAGCACGACCAGUUAAGAUGAAGCCGAUGGGAUGUACAAAAUGCCCUAGCCAAGGAGCGGAACUACGGGAUAAUAUUGCCCAUGGUGACGAAGACGAAGUAAAACCACGGAGACAAAGCAAGACCUCUGUGCGGGAAGCCGAUCGGUACAUGCAGCUCUCAGUUCAGAACUUUAUAGAAAAUUAAACUGAAAACCGGCUAUUUGAAUGCUAUAAUAUAACCAAAGCAUUAGGAAAGGAAAUAGAUACCCAUUAUAGAUGAACAAGUAUAUAUUGGCAAUAAAAUCAACACAUCAGCAUCAAUUAGAUAUCUUUCAUUUCAGAUUCCCGUAACCAACGCAAGAGAAGUAAUAAUACAAAGAUUCAGGGCUUUAGAAUUAGGAAAAAAUGAAAACUAAUGUGUCUAAAACCUUAAACCCACCGUCUGGCAGCUGGGAAACCCAAGAUAAGCAAUUGGUUCCCAUGUGUUCUGCUGUUUCGCUUUCACUGGUAACAAACCUUACCUCAAAUGAUCCAAAAGAGUUGUCUUUUAGUUUAGAUUACUCCAUUUUCCCGCUUCUUCUCAACAACUGUAAAGCCCAGACCCUCUCGCGCUUCGACUCGUUUUCUCCUUGGUUUCCUUUUCCCUUCCCUAUUUUUCCCAGCUCUUUUUAUAUGCAUGGUUACAGGUUACCCGACGUCGUAUAAAUAACAUUAACUUCACGUUUUUGUACGGGUAGGACAAAAUUUCUUGGGAAAAUGGAAGGUGAUUGCGAAAAUUA